GAUGAGCGCUGGCGGCGUGCCUAAUACAUGCAAGUCGAGCGAACAGACGAGGAGCUUGCUCCUCUGACGUUAGCGGCGGACGGGUGAGUAACACGUGGAUAACCUACCUAUAAGACUGGGAUAACUUCGGGAAACCGGAGCUAAUACCGGAUAAUAUAUUGAACCGCAUGGUUCAAUAGUGAAAGACGGUUUUGCUGUCACUUAUAGAUGGAUCCGCGCCGCAUUAGCUAGUUGGUAAGGUAACGGCUUACCAAGGCAACGAUGCGUAGCCGACCUGAGAGGGUGAUCGGCCACACUGGAACUGAGACACGGUCCAGACUCCUACGGGAGGCAGCAGUAGGGAAUCUUCCGCAAUGGGCGAAAGCCUGACGGAGCAACGCCGCGUGAGCGAUGAAGGUCUUCGGAUCGUAAAACUCUGUUAUUAGGGAAGAACAAAUGUGUAAGUAACUAUGCACGUCUUGACGGUACCUAAUCAGAAAGCCACGGCUAACUACGUG
rnacentral:rRNA from 1 species